AUUCUUACUCCUGGCAUUUUUUAUGAUUUCUAGGAUGGCAAAAGAGUGGCUGUGAGAGAAACUUCCUGGAAAACUCAUUGCUGGAAUGUUUCUAGAUUUAUGAAGUUCGUUCUCUUGUGCAUCCCAACGUGCCCUUAAUAAGCCAGUCUGUUUAGAUAUAGAACUUCGUAGAAAGUGAGAAACGAGAGGAAGCUUUCUCAGGCGGGAUAAAGCCAAGGAAUGCGUAAAGUUAUAACAACCGGAACAUUCACAACCCAAGCUUUUACUCACAAAUAAUUAUGAAAUCGGAAAUACUGAAUCGAUAAUCAGGGUGGAAUAUCACAUAUUCCAUGCGUCCGUUCGCGCCGUUCAUUUGCAGGUGCUGUCGUUCCUUGUUUAUUAGAAAUAAAGUGCAUGGAUAAACUCGAAGCCUUACAUUCUGCAUGAGGAAACCAAUGGUCGGAUCGGCUGUAAUCUCGGCGUUAUUUUUUUUAAGAAGAUUAAAAGUGUUUUCUGGCGCGUGCCACACCUCAUAAUCGCAGCGUUAAUACUUUUAGCUUAACCGACCGCAAAGUGUAAGAACUCGAACACACGCGUCACAAGGAUGUCGAUGCCUUUUUGUGGAGUUUGCCAGAGAAUGGCUAAUCUACGUUUUCUACGCAUCUCAUUAAACUAGCUCAUUCUACAAACCUAUUCUGCUGCUAGUCAUCUUGGCAAAAAUUACUGGCAAGAUUUAUCCACCCUUAUCGAUUAAAAUCUCCUGUAUUCUGGAUUCAUAGUUGCGUGAGUCCGCUACCAAUCAGAGGAAUUACAAUAAAUGUUUUUAGCGUUUUUAAAGCUAUGUGUAUACAAAGAUUAUAUUCAAACGAUGAUUGUAUAGCCCUGUUUGAGAUGCACGAAAGAUAACACUUCUCUUUUUUACUCCCUCCUACUGUGUAAAACGUAACCAUUGUUUCGUUUUAUUAAAUAUUUUGAGCAAAAUGAAUCGUUCUUCGCCCUAAACAUAGCCUGUGAAUGAACCAUUAUACGUGUAUCUCGACAUGAUACCAGUUUCCAGAUUUACUUAAGACCAUAAAAUCGAGACUAAUCAACGCACACCAUCUUGGGAAAUAGGCUUUUUUUCGCGCGAGCCUUGUAUAUGAAAUCCUUCUAGUGCAAAGCCUCAAAUCUAACGUUUUCUCCCCUUUGGCUCUUCAAGAAGCAAUUCGUGCUGUUUGUAGGUAAAAGUUCAUUCCAAGAGACUAUGAAGUCUAAGGGAGUAGUCCGUUACACUAUAGUUUGAACCGGACCUAAUGAUGCGGUAUACGAUGAUGGGCUGACUUACCUUGAAGACGUUACGUCUGUUGUUGUAAUCAGUUCUCGCCUGAAAACAAA